rnacentral:rRNA from 1 species
UGAGGAAUAUUGGUCAAUGGGGGCAACCCUGAACCAGCCAAGUCGCGUGAAGGAUGAAGGUCUUAUGGAUUGUAAACUUCUUUUACACGGGAAUAAAGCGGGGGACGUGUCCCUCUUUGCAUGUACCGUGUGAAUAAGGAUCGGCUAACUCCGUGCCAGCAGCCGCGGUAAUACGGAGGAUCCGAGCGUUAUCCGGAUUUAUUGGUGUUAAAGGGUGCGCAGGCGGGAUGUUAAGUCGGCGGUGAAAUUUUGCAGCUCAACUGUAAAAGUGCCUUCGAUACUGGCCUUCUUGAGUGUGGAUGAAGUAGGCGGAAUUUGUGGUGUAGCGGUGAAAUGCUUAGAUAUCACGAGGAACUCCGAUUGCGCAGGCAGCUUACUAAGCCACAACUGACGCUCAUGCACGAAGGCGUGGGGAUCAAACA